UACGUAGGGUGCAAGCGUUGUCCGGAAUUAUUGGGCGUAAAGGGCUCGUAGGCGGUCCAUCGCGUCGGGAGUGAAAAGCUGGGGCUUAACCCCAGUCCUGCUUCCGAUACGGGUGGACUAGAGGUAGGUAGGGGAGAACGGAAUUCCUGGUGUAGCGGUGAAAUGCGCAGAUAUCAGGAGGAACACCGGUGGCGAAGGCGGUUCUCUGGGACGGUACUGACGCUGAGACGCGAAAGCGUGGGGAGCGAACAGG
rnacentral:rRNA from 1 species